rnacentral:rRNA from 1 species
CCUACGGGAGGCAGCAGUGGGGAAUAUUGGACAAUGGGCGAAAGCCUGAUCCAGCCAUGCCGCGUGUGUGAAGAAGGUCUUCGGAUUGUAAAGCACUUUAAGCUGGGAGGAAGGGCAGUAAGUUAAUACCUUGCUGUUUUGACGUUACCAGCAGAAUAAGCCCCG